GACGAACCGUCCUAACGUUGUUCGGAAUCACUGGGCUUAAAGGGCGCGUAGGCGGGUUCCCAAGUCGGUGGUGAAAUCUUUCGGCCCAACCGGAAAACAGCCGCCGAUACUGGGAGUCUUGAGGGAGGUAGGGGUCGAUGGAACUUCCGGUGGAGCGGUGAAAUGCGUAGAGAUGUGGAGGAACACCAAUGGCGAAGGCAGCCUUCUGGGCCAACACUGACGCUCAUGCACGAAAGCGUGGGGAGCAAACAGG
rnacentral:rRNA from 1 species